UACGUAGGGUGCAAGCGUUUGUCCGGAAUUAUUGGGCGUAAAGAGCUCGUAGGCGGUCUGUCGCGUCUGCUGUGAAAACUCAGGGCUUAACCCUGAGCUUGCAGUGGGUACGGGCAGACUAGAGUGCGGUGGGGGAGACUGGAAUUCCUGGUGUAGCGGUGAAAUGCGCAGAUAUCAGGAGGAACACCGGUGGCGAAGGCGGGUCUCUGGGCCGUAACUGACGCUGAGGAGCGAAAGCAUGGGGAGCGAACAGG
rnacentral:rRNA from 1 species